AAUAAUAUGAAAAUACCAAUGACAAACAGUUGUAAGGCGUUACUGAUAUUUUAUCGCACAAUCUUAAAGAUAAAAACAAUACAAUCAGCAGUUUUAGUCAAAUUCAACCAAAUCUUGUUUCAUUUAAAAUUACUAAGGAAAUUAUAUAUUUAGAAAUCAUUUUCAAUAUUAGCAACUCAUGAAGGAUGUAGCGAGGUUGACUGUCCAGGCGACACACGUACUUAGGUAUCGUCAUGAGCUAAUGUUCACAUGUAAACAGCAGCUCAUGUAGUGUAGAUGUCCAGUCAACAAGGAUGUAGCGAGGUUGACUGUCCAGGCGACACACGUACUUAGGUAUCGUCAUGAGCUAAUGUUCACAUGUAAACAGCAGCUCAUGUAGUGUAGAUGUCCAGUCAACAAGGAUGUAGCGAGGUUGACUGUCCAGGCGACACACGUACUUAGGUAUCGUCAUGAGCUAAUGUUCACAUGUAAACAGCAGCUCAUGUAGUGUAGAUGUCCAGUCAACAAGGAUGUAGCGAGGUUGACUGUCCAGGCGACACACGUACUUAGGUAUCGUCAUGAGCUAAUGUUCACAUGUAAACAGCAGCUCAUGUAGUGUAGAUGUCCAGUCAACAAGGAUGUAGCGAGGUUGACUGUCCAGGCGACACACGUACUUAGGUAUCGUCAUGAGCUAAUGUUCACAUGUAAACAGCAGCUCAUGUAGUGUAGAUGUCCAGUCAACAAGGAUGUAGCGAGGUUGACUGUCCAGAGUGUGUUUCUCGGAAUUUAUCAUUGUAACAUAACUUAGUUCCACUGUAUCGUGAUAACGUAUCUGAUAGAUAAGCUAGUACACAUUUCUAUUCAAAGAAUGGAAAAAAAUAUAUUAUUUUAGGUUAAAAUAUCUACCUACAUUGUCUAGAAAGAUCAUACAGCCCAUUUAACAAAUGGCCUGCCCUUUUUUUGAGGGGUAAUAUCAUUCUAUGAUUUCUCUCACGUUGUUCGAGGCGAGAGGGAAUGUCAGACUUUUACUGACUAAAAACUACCCCGUUCCUACUCCUAUUCUUUGAGCCGGAAUCCCGGCAACCCGUUAAGUAGUCCGUAGCUCCGGGUGGGACCUACCCUAGAAUCGUCUCUAAAGCUCCGUACUCAAAUACGGUAUUACUCGUUGGAGCUAAGCUGACGAGUAAAAUCAAUGGCAUGGGCUUUCGUCCAUACAUUCAGCAUUGAUCUAUAGAGGGAUGCCCGUCGUUCAGUAUUCACCGAACAAUUUGAGCCAAUCGCUCAAGGAUGGAGAAGUCAUCGAAUGAUUUACUUCUCCUGCCUUUAAAAAAGGUAUUACACAAAGACGGUAUUGCUCAAAAGAUUCAAAAGAGAUUUUUCAAAUUGGGUUUUUCUCGUAUACUGCACUUAGUAACAGAUACGAUGGAACACGUCUGUCCAUA